AUUGAACGCUGGCGGCAUGCUUUACACAUGCAAGUCGAACGGCAGCGCGGGCUUCUUCCUGGCCUCGAGUUACCAACGGGUGAGUAAUUCAUCCGAACGUGCCCAGUCUUUAGGGCUAGCCCAACUAAAGCCGAAUUAAUACCGCAUACGACCUUAUGUUGAAACGCGUGGACCGAAAGUCCUCGCGCGAUUUGCUCGCCCUAUGUCGGAUUAGCUAGUUGGUGGGGUAAGGGCUUACCAAGGCGACGAUCCGUAGCUGGUCUGAGAGGACGACCUGCCACACUGGAACUGAGACACGGCCCAGACUCCUACGGGAGGCAGCAGUGGGGAAUCUUGGACAAUGGGGGAAAGCCUGACGCAGCAAUGCCGCGUGAGGGAAGAAGGCCUUCGGGUUGUAAAACGCUUUUGUUAGGGAAGAAAUACUGUGGGCUAAUCCAUCGGGGGGAUGACGGUACCGGAAGAAUAAGCACCGGCUAACUACGUG
rnacentral:rRNA from 1 species